GCUCUGGUGGCGAGUGGCGAACGGGUGAGUAAUAUAUCGGAACGUACCCUAGAGUGGGGGAUAACGUAGCGAAAGUUACGCUAAUACCGCAUACGAUCUAAGGAUGAAAGUGGGGGAUCGCAAGACCUCAUGCUCGUGGAGCGGCCGAUAUCUGAUUAGCUAGUUGGUAGGGUAAAAGCCUACCAAGGCAUCGAUCAGUAGCUGGUCUGAGAGGACGACCAGCCACACUGGAACUGAGACACGGUCCAGACUCCUACGGGAGGCAGCAGUGGGGAAUUUUGGACAAUGGGCGAAAGCCUGAUCCAGCAAUGCCGCGUGAGUGAAGAAGGCCUUCGGGUUGUAAAGCUCUUUUGUCAGGGAAGAAACGGUGAGAGCUAAUAUCUUUUGCUAAUGACGGUACCUGAAGAAUAAGCACCGGCUAACUACGUGCCAGCAGCCGCGGUAAUACGUAGGGUGCAAGCGUUAAUCGGAAUUACUGGGCGUAAAGCGUGCGCAGGCGGUUUUGUAAGUCUGAUGUGAAAUCCCCGGGCUCAACCUGGGAAUUGCAUUGGAGACUGCAAGGCUAGAAUCUGGCAGAGGGGGGUAGAAUUCCACGUGUAGCAGUGAAAUGCGUAGAUAUGUGGAGGAACACCGAUGGCGAAGGCAGCCCCCUGGGUCAAGAUUGACGCUCAUGCACGAAAGCGUGGGGAGCAAACAGGAUUAGAUACCCUGGUAGUCCACGCCCUAAACGAUGUCUACUAGUUGUCGGGUCUUAAUUGACUUGGUAACGCAGCUAACGCGUGAAGUAGACCGCCUGGGGAGUACGGUCGCAAGAUUAAAACUCAAAGGAAUUGACGGGGACCCGCACAAGCGGUGGAUGAUGUGGAUUAAUUCGAUGCAACGCGAAAAACCUUACCUACCCUUGA
rnacentral:rRNA from 1 species